rnacentral:rRNA from 1 species
ACGAACGCUGGCGGCGUGCUUAACACAUGCAAGUCGAACGAGGUGAUUGAAAGCUUGCUUUGAGAACCGAGUGGCAAACGGGUGAGUAACGCGUAGACAACCUGCCGCAAAGAUGGGGACAACAGUCCGAAAGGACUGCUAAUACCGAAUGUUGUCAGUUUUCCGCAUGGGAGACUGAUUAAAGAUGGCCUCUACUUGUAAGCUAUCGCUUUGCGAUGGGUCUGCGUCUGAUUAGCUGGUUGGUGGGGUAACGGCCUACCAAGGCGACGAUCAGUAGCCGGUCUGAGAGGAUGAACGGCCACAUUGGAACUGAGACACGGUCCAGACUCCUACGGGAGGCAGCAGUGGGGAAUCUUCCGCAAUGGGCGAAAGCCUGACGGAGCAACGCCGCGUGAGUGAAGAAGGGUUUCGGCUCGUAAAGCUCUGUUGAUGGGGACGAAUGUGCGAAAUGCGAACAGUUUUUCGCAAUGACGGUACCCGUCGAGGAAGCCACGGCUAACUACGUGCCAGCCGCCGC